rnacentral:rRNA from 1 species
ACGGGUGAGUAACGCGUAUCCAACCUGCCCAUAACUAAGGGAUAAUCCGUAGAAAUGCGGUCUAAUACCUUAUGUGUUCCGACGAGGACAUCUGAAUUGGAAUAAAGAUUUAUCGGUUAUGGAUGGGGAUGCGUCUGAUUAGAUUGUUGGCGGGGCAACGGCCCACCAAGUCUGCGAUCAGUAGGGGUUCUGAGAGGAAGGUCCCCCACAUUGGAACUGAGACACGGUCCAAACUCCUACGGGAGGCAGCAGUGAGGAAUAUUGGUCAAUGGGCGGGGGCCUGAACCAGCCAAGUAGCGUGCAGGAUGACGGCCCUAUGGGUUGUAAACUGCUUUUGUAUGGGGAUAAAUUGCUCCACGAGUGGAGUAUUGCAGGUACCAUACGAAUAAGGACCGGCUAAUUCCGUGCCAGCAGCCGCGGUAAUACGGAAGGUCCGGGCGUUAUCCGGAUUUAUUGGGUUUAAAGGGAGCGUAGGCCGUGGAUUAAGUGUGUUGUGAAAUGUAGGCGCUCAACGUCUGACUCGCAGCGCAUACUGGUCCACUAGAGUGCGCGCAACGCGGGCGGAAUUUGUCGUGUAGCGGUGAAAUGCUUAGAUAUGACGAAGAACCCCGAUUGCGAAGGCAGCUCGCGGGAGCGCAACUGACGCUGAAGCUCGAAAGUGCGGGUAUCGAACAGGAUUAGAUACCCUGGUAGUCCGCACGGUAAACGAUGGAUGCCCGCUUUUCGGUCAUUAGACCGUGAGGCCAAGUGAAAACAUUAAGCAUCCCACCUGGGGGAGUACGCCGGCAACGGUGAAACUC